GGAGUCUGGUCCGUGUCUCAGUACCAGUGUGGGGGACCUUCCUCUCAGAACCCCUAACGAUCGUUGGCCAGGUGGGCCGUUACCCCGCCUGCAACCUAAUCAGACGCAUCCCCAUCCCAUAGCGAUGAAUCUUUGCUUGACGUUAGAUGUCUGCUGUCAAGAACAUAGGGAAUUAAUCCGACUUUCGCCGGGCU
rnacentral:rRNA from 1 species